CUGGGAGUUUUGCGCAAUGGGCGAAAGCCUGACGCAGCAACGCCGCGUGGGGGAUGAAGGCCUUCGGGUUGUAAACCCCUUUUUGUUGGGAAGAAAAAAAUGACGGUACCGAUAGAAAAAGCACCGGCUAACUCUGUGCCAGCAGCCGCGGUAAUACAGAGGGUGCGAGCGUUAUUCGGAAUCACUGGGCGUAAAGCGCGCGUAGGCGGUUUGGUAAGUCGGAUGUGAAAUCCCUCGACUUAAUCGAGGAAGUGCAUUGGAAACUACCAGACUAGAGUACAGGAGGGGAGAGUGGAAUUCCUGGUGUAGAGGUGAAAUUCGUAGAUAUCAGGAGGAACAACGGCGGCGAAGGCGGCUCUCUGGACUGUCACUGACGCUGAUAGCGCGAAAGCGUGGGGAGCAAACAGG
rnacentral:rRNA from 1 species